rnacentral:rRNA from 1 species
CAAUAGCGUAUAUUAAAGUUGUUGCAGUUAAAAAGCUCGUAGUUGGAUUUCUGGUUGAAGCGACCGGUCGGGCGUUGAUUCGUCUGCACUGGAGUCGGUUUUGGCCAUCCUCUAGGAAAGUGCGUCUGGCAUUAAGUUAUCGGGCGUAUGAUCCUGGUCUUUUACUGUGAAAAAAUUAGAGUGUUUAAAGCAGGCCUUCGCCUUGAAUACAUUAGCAUGGAAUAAUAAGAUAGGACUUUGGUCUAUUUUGUUGGUUUGCAGACCGAAGUAAUGAUUAAUAGGGAUAGUUGGGGGUAUUUAUAUUCCGAUGUCAGAGGUGAAAUUCUUAGAUUUUCGGAAGAUAAACUUAUGCGAAAGCAUUUACCAAGGAUGUUUUCAUUAA